rnacentral:rRNA from 1 species
UACAGAGGGUGCGAGCGUUAAUCGGAAUUACUGGGCGUAAAGCGUGCGUAGACGGUUUCGUAAGUCGGGUGUGAAAGCCCUGGGCUCAACCUGGGAAUGGCAUUGGAAACUGGCGACCUAGAGUGCGGUAGAGGGUAGUGGAAUUCCCGGUGUAGCAGUGAAAUGCGUAGAGAUCGGGAGGAACAUCCGUGGCGAAGGCGACUACCUGGACCAGCACUGACACUGAGGCACGAAAGCGUGGGGAGCAAACAGG